rnacentral:rRNA from 1 species
UACGUAGGGGGCAAGCGUUGUCCGGAUUUAUUGGGCGUAAAGAGCUCGUAGGCGGUGUGUCGCGUCGGCCGUGAAAACUUGCAGCUUAACUGUGGGCGUGCGGUCGAUACGGGCAUCACUGGAGUUCGGCAGGGGAGACUGGAAUUCCUGGUGUAGCGGUGAAAUGCGCAGAUAUCAGGAGGAACACCGGUGGCGAAGGCGGGUCUCUGGGCCGAUACUGACGCUGAGGAGCGAAAGCGUGGGGAGCGAACAGG